GACGAACGCUGGCGGCGUGCUUAACACAUGCAAGUCGAACGGUAAGGCCCUUCGGGGUACACGAGUGGCGAACGGGUGAGUAACACGUGGGUGAUCUGCCCUGCACUUCGGGAUAAGCCUGGGAAACUGGGUCUAAUACCGGAUAGGACUCCUGGCUUCAUGGUUGGGGGUGGAAAGCUUUUGCGGUGUGGGAUGGGCCCGCGGCCUAUCAGCUUGUUGGUGGGGUAAUGGCCUACCAAGGCGACGACGGGUAGCCGGCCUGAGAGGGUGACCGGUCACACUGGGACUGAGAUCCGGCCCAGACUCCUACGGGAGGCAGCAGUGGGGAAUAUUGCACAGUGGGCGCAAGCCUGAUGCAGCGACGCCGCGUGAGGGAUGACGGCCUUCGGGUUGUAAACCUCUUUCAGCUAUGACGAAGCGCAAGUGACGGUAGUAGCAGAAGAAGGACCGGCCAACUACGUGCCAGCAGCCGCAGUAA
rnacentral:rRNA from 1 species